rnacentral:tRNA from 1 species
UGGUGUAGCUCAACUGGCAGAGCAGCUGAUUUGUAAUCAGCAGGUUGCUGGUUCGAUUCCGGUCACC